GCUUGCCGCGGUAAUACGAAGGGGGCUAGCGUUGCUCGGAAUUACUGGGCGUAAAGGGCGCGUAGGCGGACAGUUAAGUUGGGGGUGAAAGCCCGGGGCUCAACCUCGGAAUUGCCUUCAAUACUGGCUGUCUUGAGUACGGGAGAGGUGAGUGGAACUCCGAGUGUAGAGGUGAAAUUCGUAGAUAUUCGGAAGAACACCAGUGGCGAAGGCGACUCACUGGCCCGUUACUGACGCUGAGGCGCGAAAGCGUGGGGAGCAAACAGGAUUAGAUACCCUGGUAGUCCACGCCGUAAACGAUGAGUGCUAGUUGUCGGCAUGCAUGCAUGUCGGUGACGCAGCUAACGCAUUAAGCACUCCGCCUGGGGAGUACGGUCGCAAGAUUAAAACUCAAAGAAAUUGACGG
rnacentral:rRNA from 1 species